rnacentral:tRNA from 1 species
UGCAGGUCUGUUGUAAAUUUUUAGCAUAGCAGCUUUUCGUGCUGUUGGUGAGGAGUCUCGUCCUGUAA